UUAGAUGCACUAUUGUUAAGUGACUGUCCCACUGGAUGUCAUAAGGUGAAUGCACCAAUUUGUAAGUCGCUCUGGAUAAGAGCGUCUGCUAAAUGACUUAAAUGUAAUGUAAAUGUAAUGUACAUUCCCCACUACAGUAAAUCACACCCUGCAUGGUACUGGUAGACCUGAACUUAUCAGACACGCCUCUAACCCAUCCCACUUGGGUAUAAGCUGACUCAACAUCAGCAAGAGCAGAAGACUAUCCGAUCCUUGACCAGCAAUGGCUGCCGUUCCUGAGCUGCUGCUGGUAAUUCUGGAUGAUUUGGGUAAAGCAGAAAUGGACAAAUUUAAAUGGUAUCUUCGUCAAGGCGUGGAAGGUUUCCCUCAACGCAUCCCAGUGAGCCAGCUGGAGAACUCUGACAGAGUUGACACUAUCAGUAAGAUGGUGGGGACCUACCAACCUGAGGACGCUGUGAAGAUUACACUGGAGAUCCUGAGGAAGAUGAACCAGAACCAACUAGCUGAAACGUUAAAAAACAAAUAUGGCCCUGUUGGAGCUCUAGGAGAAGGUUUUAACAUGGAAGUAUCUUCUUCAGAGAGAUCUACAGGACAUUUUCAGCCAGUUCCUGCAUUACCUCCUGCCUCCAAUAUAUUGCCUGGGACUGGAAGAAAACCUGCUGCAGUUGCAUCAGACGAGGAAUCGGUUGGAAAGAUCACGUACUACACCAAUAACCAUCUUGGAAAAGGUGCCGAUGGAAUUGUGUUCAGGGGUUACUUCCAUUGUGAUGAUGUCAACAAGCGUCCUGCGGCAGUGAAGAGAAUUGAACUAGCAAAAGAAAGCUAUGCUGAUCGAGAGGUCGCUUUGCUUCUUCAAUUGGACGACAAUCCCCAUGUCGUCCGCUACUUCUGCACUGAGGACAGGCAAUUCCUAUACAUUGCCAUCGAGCUGUGUGCCGUCUCUUUAGAUAAGUGUUUUACUGAAGAAAAUCCUUUUGACCUUCGCGGACUGAACCCAGUGAUGCUGCUGCAGCAGACCAUGAUAGGACUGGAACACCUGCACUCUCACAACAUAGUCCACCGUGACGUGAAGCCCCACAACAUCCUGUUGAAAGACCAUUCUGACUCAGUCACGGUCAAGAUCUCAGACUUUGGGAUAAGUAAGCAGUUGGUGGACGGCAGACAAAGCUACAGUAUGAGGUCGGGAGCCCUUGGCACCAUGGGCUGGAAUGCCCCAGAGGUCCUGGAUGACAGCAGGAGAGUAAACCCUACCAGUGCUGUGGACAUCUUCUCUGCCGGCUGUGUGUUUUACUAUGUGUUGACAGGAGGAGAACAUCCAUUUGGAAAACCCAAUAGGCGGGCUGGUAACAUCGAGGAUGGCAAAUACAACCUCGAUGGAUUAAAGAAAGACAAACAUGAGGACAUCGUGACCACAGACCUGAUAGAACAGAUGCUGAACAUGGAGCCCCAGAGGAGGCCUUCUGCUGAGAGCGUGCUCAAACACCCCUUCUUCUGGAGCCUGGAGAAACAACUGAUGUUCUUCCAGGACGUGAGUGACAGUAUUGUAAAUGAGACAUCGGAUGGUCCAAUCAUACAGCAGCUGGAGUCAGGGGGACAGGAAGUGGUGAGGAAUAACUGGAUGGAACAAAUCACAGCAGUUCUGCAGAAAGAUCUAGAAAUACGUAAAGGAGCAUAUGAAGAGGACUCUGUUAAAAGUCUUCUACGUGCCAUAAGAAACAAGGAUGUGAGUGACUGGAUUGAUCCAUAGUUACAGCUGAAGGAGUUGUAUGAUGCAAUCAUCAAUCAGCUGGAGUCAGAGGCAGAAAAAGUGGUCAAGAUGAACUGAAUGGAACACAUCACUAAGGAUCUUCCUGAAAGGUGGUGUCUGAGGACCAGUAGUUGAACACCAACAGACUAUCUUGAAAAACACCAAGGAGCAUAUAAAGAGGACUCUGUUGUAAGUCUUCUACGGGACAUAAGAAACAAGGUUAGUGUGUUCUGUCCAUUGGCAAUGAAUUACAUCAUAUCUAUUGAUAUACUGUAUGUGUUAUAUUAUUCUAGUAGUUGUAUAUUAUAAAAUGUUACUGGUCUCGUACACAUUUUGCAGAUGUUAUUGCAGGUGCAGUGAAAUGCUUAAGGAAAGAUCCACAUUUACAUAAUGGUUACCUGGAGGAAACUGGAGGAGGGUCAUACUUUUUCAAUUUUUAACCCUCAGGGGAGGGUUUAGUAUUUUAUAACUCUAGUCCAGGGUAGAGUCUUGUCAUUUGUAAUUGAUGAAAUGUCAAUAUUUCUCAUUUUUUUAGAAUGAGUUUUUUAUCAGGCUAUUUAUAUCGCUGUGUGCCCGAUGUCGCCCCUCAUCUCUGAUUCUCCACUGGGCGUGCAAUAUCAAGUGUGCCUAUAGGCUAUUUAGUGAAGGCUGUGGACAUUUUAUUGAGACCAUCGGCUACAAAGUGCAUGCUUGGAGAAGCACAGAGCAAAGUUAUAUUUAUAUGAUAGCUGCUGAGAUGGUGUAAAUACAACUAGGCUGUAUUACACACUGCAAUGGACAUUCCAUCCCUGAGCCCUGGCCUGCUCUGCUCUUACUGAUCAAAAACCUGUCAAAAGCUUUUUCAGAAUAUUUGUUGAUUAGGCCUUGCCUAUGUUCUGUUCAGUUUGAGAAGGAGAAAGUGAAUAUGAGAAGGAGGACUCCAGGUCAACUUUGAUAGCUUGCUAAUACUAUAAUUUAUUUUUGUUCAAAACAGUAUGUUUGUUGCCCAUAAUGUAGGUCUAUUUAUUAGAUUUAUUGACAUCACGAUAAGACAGAUUCUAGUAACUUACAUUAUGGUACUGAAACCUGAAGCAGCGACACAAUCAAUCGGAAAAGGGCAGCUCAUUGAAUUGAAUUGAAUUUAUUUUUGGCAACAGACAUAUACAACAAAAUGCACAAUGUGGACCCAGACGAUUUCACUUGAGAAUGCUAUUCAUUGACUACAGCUCAGUGUUCAACACCAAAGUGCCCUCAAAGCUUAUCAAUAAGCUAAGGACCCUGGGAGUAAACAUCUCCCUCUGCAACUGGAUGCUGGACUUCCUGACG